UACGUAGGGUGCGAGCGUUGCCCGGAUUUAUUGGGCGUAAAGAGCUCGUAGGCGGUCUGUCGCGUCGAUCGUGAAAACUUGGGGCUUAACCCUGAGCUUGCGGUCGAUACGGGCAUGACUGGAGUUCGGCAGGGGAGACUGGAAUUCCUGGUGUAGCGGUGAAAUGCGCAGAUAUCAGGAGGAACACCGGUGGCGAAGGCGGGUCUCUGGGCCGAUACUGACGCUGAGGAGCGAAAGCGUGGGGAGCGAACAGG
rnacentral:rRNA from 1 species